rnacentral:lncRNA from 1 species
UUUUAAUAGGUGAAGAACAAAUGGUAAUAGGUAAUGAAUAUGGUUAGAUAAUGAUAUUUUAUAGUUGUAGUAGGGUAUAGAGAGAGAAUAUAGGGGAAACCGCUGCCGGAGAUGAAAAAGUAGGAGAUAAAAUAUUGAUGAUGUGACGCAAAAAAGUGAUAUAGGAGGGAAAUUUAGGGGCUGCUCACAGUCUUAUAUGAACAAUUGUUUUUCCAUACGACAUGAUUAUAACAACUCGCUGUAUUGCGGAUAGAGGCUGAAUGAGGACAAAUCAGCUUUAGAUAGAGUUCAAUUGAGAUCCAUCGCCCUUGUCAAAAAGAAAAAGAGACAGUGAUGACGAAUGGCUUUCUUACCCUAGUGGUGGACAACGAUCGCGAGAGUGACUCUGCAACUGUGAAUGACUAAAUACAGAGAACGGCAUGCUUUUACUCUACUGCUCAGAGUAAUGGAGCGGCGAGAAAGUUUAAAGCAGAGUGCAGACUCCGUUCUGUCAGGAUAAUUCAGUAUAUGCAUGGGUUGCUUGCUCCAUGAUCAAUACUGCUGCAGCGAAAUGUCUGCAUACUUGGAACGAACGGACAUGUAGGCAUGGCAUGUGUGACAACUGACAAUAGAGUUGUCAUCAAGAAAGAGACUGAUGGGUAAGUUGCUGAGUCAUCGUUAUCGCCUGCAAAGAUAAACUUUGCAAUCUCUUGGAAACAAAGAAAAAACAAAAACAUCGCAAUCCUCCCUUUCUGUGUGCUUCAAUUUUACGGAUCUGCGAAGUACUACUAGUUUUGCUUCAUAAUUGCAUCUCAUCUGAAACUGGAGAGACGUUUGUCGUCGGUUUCACAGUCCAGAGCUGGGUCUGAAGCGAGUAAGAGCAGGGGUCGCAACUGGAGCAUCGAUUCCGGAAACUAAUAGAAAAUCAGUUCAUCCAGGAACCCAGUUCAGGAGAGGCCCCCAACAUGAGCAAAGUAGCAGUGGUGAACAUAUGAGAUGGUAUCUACAGGCCAUGCACGGCCCGUCGAUCGCCCAGUGGCUCUGUGCUGUGCUCUGUGCUAGCAGGAGCUACACUACAUACUCGUGAGCACGACACCUAAACCCACAUGAUCAUGAUUAUUCAACAUGAGAAUCGAACUGAUACUGGAAUUAAACAGACAGAAGGGCUUGUUGGUUCUUGCUGGCGAUCGACGGGACCGGGCGGGCGAGCCGAGGCGGCGAGGCCUAC